CCUGGUAGAGGCAGAAUACAUGCAGAACCAGGUGAAUGAAGAAGAGUUUUAAGGACAUUUUUCAUGUGGUGGUGAAGUUCUUCAAAGUUAUGUAAAAUGAACAUCUGGCUGCACUGUAAGAGAAGAGCAAGUCUGAGGCUACUUCAUGAGGCUGAAUGUGUACAAGCCUAAGUGGCCAGAAGACAUGCAUUCCAGGGACCUGCAAGAACUGGCUGUUGUAGCUGUCAAGCUGCUCGUCAUAUUUAAAAAAUCAUGGCUGUCUGGUGAAAUCCCUGGUGGCUGGAGAAAGGGAAACAUCACUCAUUUUUAAGAAAGUGAGUAAGAAAGUCCUAGGAUACUACAGGCAGGUGAGUCUCAUAUCUGUUCCUGGGAAGACUGUGGAGCAGAUCCUCCUAGAAGCUAUGUUAAGGCACAUGUGAGGGAGUGUAAGAGACUAUACUUUUAUAUCAUUGACUCAAAGUUUGCUGAGGAACAAGUCCAGGCAAGUCCUGGGCAAAGGCAGAGAAAUCUUUUGUCUUGAGGACACUGAUGGACAGGUCCUGGCUAAGGAUUGUGAAAUCCUUUAAGGAGCACAGAUGGACAAGGCCAGGGGCAUCGAGAGAGAGAUAAGCUGCCGCUAAUGGCCGGGAAACGGUCUUUUUGUGUGGACUUAUCUCAAGGAAAAUGGCCAUCUCAGGAGGUAUGCACAGGACUCUUGCUCAAGCCCCCAGGAAUGUCACCUAGGCAGCAGAAAAUGGAGGAUAAAAGAGGGUCUAAUAACCACAACGGUGGAAGCUGAUCCUUCACCACAACCACGGCAACGGGAGAGGCUUAUCUCUCACCACGACAGACUUGAGGGGUUCUCUGCCAACUGAUCUCUCACCGCAACGUGGAGACAGAUCUCUACGUGGAGACUGAUCUCUCACCACGACACGAGCUUCCUGCCUUCCGAUCCUUCUCUACGGACCGUUUGCUGACGGACUUCCCUGGGCCUGCUACCUGAGACCUGCUGCUUCCUCCCCGACCUGCACCCUCUCGUUGCCCAAGACCGGCCUCGCUGCUCCUGCCCUUCGGCCUCGGACCGUCGGAACAUCGUGCAACGGGACUGCUGCCGGAUCCUGGUGGUGACUAUCCCCGCUUUACGCAAUUCUUGCCUCUUUCUAUCUUUUCUAUCACUCGCCUUCCCUUCCCCAUCACCCCAAUCCGUAAUAGUGUCCGUCCUCCUCUUUCCCCAUCUCCCUUAUUA
ensembl:lncRNA